UCUUACAAACGAGGAAAAUGAACUACAGAAAACAAUGCUAUGGUAUGCACAGCUUCUUCCUCCCGGGGAAAGGCGUGCAGGAGACAUAUCCCCGCUGGACUGCUUUCCUGCUCCUUUCCCCCCCAUAGCCACAAGUUACUUCAACUCCCGGUUGCCCAAAGAGAGGCGAGAAAGAGACACCUCCUCCCCUCCACCCAUCCCGCCCCGGCUCUUCUAGGGCAGAGAAGCGUCCCUCGGCUUUCCUAAAACUGUCAGAGAGGCCAGCCCUCGCCGAUCCAAGGCUGCGGAGUGACACCACAGGCACCUCAUCUUCCGAAUCAUCGCUGUGAGCUACAGAUGGACCUCUUCUAAGGGGCCUACUUGUUCAGUGCUUUGGGGCAGAUGAAGAAGAUACAUUGCCUUGGAGGUUGAUGAAUGAAGCAUUGAACACGAGUAAAGAUCUCCCUGUUCCCUCCCUCAAAGUAGACAAGUCAUUUAGGACACAGACCGACAUGUUCUGUGCACUCGCACAUCUGGCUUAGGCUUCUGGUGUGGAACUUCUCAUUCAUCACCCUCUGACAUACAUACUGUGCUACUCGAAUUCCAUCAACAUGUCACAAAACAACUUUUCUUUCCUCCGUGCCAUGCUCUUGAUUUGUUCACCCAGGUAUCCGGUAUACAUAUUAUUCAAAGAAUGGCAUCAUUCAUGGGUUCUAACAACAUUUACCACCUACACAAAUUCUGCUUUGCAAUGGGGGGCGGGGGGGGAAUGUACAAUGCUAAGAGAUAUGUGAGUCCUUCUAUAUACAUGUAACAAAAUCUGUCCUAUGUGUUCUGUUGAUUGGCAGAAUCUUGAAUUUUGGUACCGUGCUGUAGCAAGAAACAAAAAUAAAUUAUAAUUUCAUGAUU